AUUGAACGCUGGCGGCAUGCCUUACACAUGCAAGUCGAACGGUAACAGGUCUUUUGGGAUGCUGACGAGUGGCGAACGGGUGAGUAAUACAUCGGAACGUGCCUAGUAGUGGGGGAUAACUACUUGAAAGAGUGGCUAAUACCGCAUGAGAUCUAUGGAUGAAAGCAGGGGACCUUCGGGCCUUGUGCUACUAGAGCGGCCGAUGGCAGAUUAGGUAGUUGGUGGGAUAAAAGCUUACCAAGCCUGCGAUCUGUAGCUGGUUUGAGAGGACGAUCAGCCACCCUGGGACUGAGACCCGGCCCCGACUCCUACGGGAGGCAGCAGUGGGGAAUUUUGGACAAUGGGGGAAACCCUGAUCCAGCAAUGCCGCGUGCAGGAUGAAGGCCUUCGGGUUGUAAACUGCUUUUGUACGGAACGAAAAGUUUUGGGCUAAUACCCUGGGAUCAUGACGGU
rnacentral:rRNA from 1 species